AUAUCUCUCUGUACGGGAAGGAUGAGAAGCUUCGACUAAGGUUCGAUUCGAGCGAAAGCGAGAAAGCGUUGCCGCAGGCAACGGCCCGAAGGGCGAAGCGCGCAGCGCUGAGUCAUCCUUCCCCCACCACCA
rnacentral:sRNA from 1 species